rnacentral:rRNA from 1 species
CAGUAGCCGCGGGAAUACGUAGGUGGCAAGCGUUGUCCGGAAUUAUUGGGCGUAAAGGGCUCGCAGGCGGUUUCUUAAGUCUGAUGUGAAAGCCCCCGGCUCAACCGGGGAGGGUCAUUGGAAACUGGGAAACUUGAGUGCAGAAGAGGAGAGUGGAAUUCCACGUGUAGCGGUGAAAUGCGUAGAUGUGGAGGAACACCAGUGGCGAAGGCGACUCUCUGGUCUGUAACUGACGCUGAGGAGCGGAAGCGUGGGGAGCGAACAGGAUUAGAUACCCCUGUAGUCCCUGUCUCUUAUACAC